rnacentral:rRNA from 1 species
CAUAAGCGGAGGAAAAGAAACUAACAAGGAUUCCCCUAGUAGCGGCGAGCGAAGCGGGAAGAGCUCAAAUUUAUAAUCUGGCACCUUCGGUGUCCGAGUUGUAAUCUCUAGAAAUGUUUUCCGCGUUGGACCGCACACAAGUCUGUUGGAAUACAGCGGCAUAGUGGUGAGACCCCCGUAUAUGGUGCGGACGCCCAGCGCUUUGUGAUACAUUUUCGAAGAGUCGAGUUGUUUGGGAAUGCAGCUCAAAUUGGGUGGUAAAUUCCAUCUAAAGCUAAAUAUUGGCGAGAGACCGAUAGCGAACAAGUACCGUGAGGGAAAGAUGAAAAGCACUUUGGAAAGAGAGUUAACAGUACGUGAAAUUGUUGGAAGGGAAACGCUUGAAGUCAGACUUGCUUGCCGAGCAAUCGGUUUGCAGGCCAGCAUCAGUUUUCCGGGAUGGAUAAUGGUAAAGAGAAGGUAGCAGUUUCGGCUGUGUUAUAGCUCUCUACUGGAUACAUCCUGGGGGACUGAGGAACGCAGUGUGCCUUUGGCGGGGGUUUCGACCUCUUCACACUUAGGAUGCUGGUGGAA